GACGAACGCUGGCGGCGUGCUUAACACAUGCAAGUCGAACGAAGUGGCGAACGGGUGAGUAACGCGUAAUCAACCUGCCCAUCAGAGGGGGACAACAGUUGGAAACGACUGCUAAUACCGCAUACUGAAGGUGGGGAUUGCGUCUGAUUAGCUAGUUGGAGGGGUAACGGCCCACCAAGGCGCUGAUCAGUAGCCGGUCUGGGAGGAUGAACGGCCACAAUGGGACUGGGGCACGGCCCAGACUCCUACGGGAGGGAGCAGUGGGGAAUCUUCCGCAAUGGACGAAAGUCUGACGGGGCAACGCCGCGGUGGUGAUGACGGCCUUCGGGUUGGAAAGCUCUGUUAAUCGGGACGCGGUACCGGAAUAGAAAGCCACGGCUAACUACGUGCCAGCCGCCGCGGUAAUAC
rnacentral:rRNA from 1 species